rnacentral:rRNA from 1 species
AGCGAACGCUGGCGGCAGGCUUAACACAUGCAAGUCGAGCGGGCAUCCUUGUGGUGUCAGCGGCAGACGGGUGAGUAACGCGUGGGAACGUGCCCUUCGGUUCGGAAUAACUCAGGGAAGCUUGAGCUAAUACCGGAUACGUGCGAGAGCAGAAAGGUUUAUCUGCCGAAGGAUCGGCCCGCGUCUGAUUAGCUAGUUGGUGAGGUUAUGGCUCACCAAGGCGACGAUCAGUAGCUGGUCUGAGAGGAUGAUCAGCCACACUGGGACUGAGACACGGCCCAGACUCCUACGGGAGGCAGCAGUGGGGAAUAUUGGACAAUGGGGGCAACCCUGAUCCAGCCAUGCCGCGUGAGUGAUGACGGCCUUAGGGUUGUAAAGCUCUUUUCUCCGGGACGAUAAUGACGGUACCGGAGGAAUAAGCCCCGGCUAACUUCGUG